rnacentral:rRNA from 1 species
GAUGAACGCUGGCGGCGUGCCUAAUACAUGCAAGUCGAGCGAACAGACGAGGAGCUUGCUCCUCUGACGUUAGCGGCGGGCGGGUGAGUAACGCGUGGAUAACCUACCUAUAAGACUGGGAUAACUUCGGGAAACCGGAGCUAAUACCGGAUAAUAUAUUGAACCGCAUGGUUCAAUAGUGAAAGACGGUUUUGCUGUCACUUAUAGAUGGAUCCGCGCCGCAUUAGCUAGUUGGUAAGGUAACGGCUUACCAAGGCAACGAUGCGUAGCCGACCUGAGAGGGUGAUCGGCCACACUGGAACUGAGACACGGUCCAGACUCCUACGGGAGGCAGCAGUAGGGAAUCUUCCGCAAUGGGCGAAAGCCUGACGGAGCAACGCCGCGUGAGUGAUGAAGGUCUUCGGAUCGUAAAACUCUGUUAUUAGGGAAGAACAAAUGUGUAAGUAACUAUGCACGUCUUGACGGUACCUAAUCAGAAAGCCACGGCUAACUACGUG